rnacentral:rRNA from 1 species
AACCUGGUUGAUCUUGCCAGUAGUCAUAUGCUUGUCUCAAAGAUUAAGCCAUGCAAGUGAAAGUAUAUGCAUAUUUUAUAUGUAGAAACUGCGAACGGCUCAUUAAAACAGUUAUAAUCUACUUGACAUUUUUUCUAUAAGGAUAACUACGGAAAAGCUGUAGCUAAUACUUGCUUUAGCACUCUUGAUUCAUUUCUUGAGUGUGUACUUGUUAAGCCUUUUAAGAAAAAAGUUAUUAACUUAAGGAAUUAUAACAAAGAAGCGACACGUAAUGGAUCCGUCCAUUUUUAGUGUGUAUCAAUCGAGUUUCUGACCUAUCAGCUUUUGAUGUUAGGGUAUUGGCCUAACAUGGCUAUGACGGGUAACGGGGAAUUAGAGUUCGAUUCCGGAGAGGGAGCCUGAGAAAUAGCUACCACAUCUAAGGAAGGCAGCAGGCGCGUAAAUUACCCAAUUCUAAAGAAGAGAGGUAGUGACAAGAAAUAACAAUACAAGGCCAAUCUGGCUUUGUAAUUGGAAUGAUGGGAAUUUAAAACCUUCCCAAAACUCAAUUGGAGGGCAAGUCUGGUGCCAGCAGCCGCGGUAAUUCCAGCUCCAAUAGCGUAUAUUAAAAUUGUUGCAGUUAAAACGCUCGUAGUUGAAUUUCAAAGAAUCGAUAUUUUAAGCAACGCUUCUAGCUUAAUCCACAUAACUGAUACUUCGUAUCGACUUUGUGCGCAUUUUGCUAUUAUGUGUUCUUUUAAUUAAAAUGAUUCUUUUUAAGGGUUUUCAUCACUUCUGUUUUGAUUCCCUUGUUACUUUGAGUAAAUUAGAGUGUUCAAAGCAAACAGAUAUAGCAUUGCGCGUUUGAAUACUACAGCAUGGAAUAACAAAAUUGAACAAGUCAGAAUUUUGUUCUUUUUUCUUAUUUUGGCUUAGUUACGAUUAAUAGGAGUAGCUUGGGGGCAUUUGUAUUCAGAUGUCAGAGGUGAAAUUCUUAGAUUUUCUGGAGACAAACAACUGCGAAAGCAUUUGCCUAAAAUACUUCCAUUAAUCAAGAACGAAAGUUAAGGGAGUGAAGACGAUCAGAUACCGUCGUAAUCUUAACCAUAAACUAUGCCGACUAGGCUUUGGAUGAAAGAUUUUAAAAUAAGAAUUUUCUCUUCGGAGUUUAUUCUUAGAUUGCUUCCUUCAGUGCCUUAUGAGAAAUCAAAGUCUUUGGGUUCUGGGGCGAGUAUUCGCGCAAGCGAGAAAGUUAAAAGAAUUGACGGAAGGGCACCACCAGGCGUGGAGCUUGCGGCUUAAUUUGACUCAACACGGGAAAACUCACUAGUUUAAGACAAGAGUAGGAUUGACAGAUUAAUAGCUCUUUCUUGAUUUCUUGGAUGGUGAUGCAUGGCCGUUUUUAGUUCGUGAAUAUGAUUUGUCUGGUUAAUUCCGAUAACGAACGAGAUCUUAACCUGCUAAUUAGCGGCAAAUACGAUAUAUUCUUACGUGGGACUGAAUUCGGUUGAUUUGCUUACUUUGAAGAAAAUAUUGGGAAACGUAACAGUUUCCCUUUCCCUUUUCUACUUAGUUCGCUUUUCAUACUGUUUCUUUUUCGCGUAAGAAUGUAUUUGCUUGAUUGUAAAGCUUCUUAGAGGAACGAUGUGUGUCUAACACAAGGAAGUUUAAGGCAACAACAGGUCUGUGAUGUCCUUAGAUGAACUAGGCUGCACGCGUGCUACACUGAUAUGUAUAACGAGUUAUUAAAAUUACGAUACAGCUUGCUGUUUCGUAUUUUUCCUCCACUGAAAAGUGUAGGUAAUCUUUAUCAGUACAUAUCGUGAUGGGGAUAGAUUAUUGCAAUUAUUAAUCUUGAACGAGGAAUGCCUAGUAAGCAUGAUUCAUCAGAUUGUGCUGACUACGUCCCUGCCCUUUGUACACACCGCCCGUCGCUCCUACCGAUUGAAAGAUAUGAUGAAUUGUUUGGACAAGAAGAAGGGGGAUUAUAUCUCCUUUUUUCUGGAAAAACCGUAAAUCCUAUCUUUUAAAGGAAGGAGAAGUCGUAACAAGGUUUCCGUAGGUGAACCUGCGGAAGGAUCAUUA